AACCUGCGGAAGGAUCAUUAAUAAAUGGUCUACGUUUUUUUAAGUAGACGCUUAAUAAUCCUACCCUUUGUGAAUUUGUUUGUUUGAAAUAAUUUUUUUUAAAAUUAUGAAUGUCUUUCCCUGUUGAAUUGGUUGUCUUUAAUGGCAAGUGAUUCGCAGGGGAGUGUCAAUAUUUUAAAAAGACCUUUUUUAAAAUUAAACUUUUUGUAUUCAUGUUGUCUAAAAAUUAUUUUAUAAUAUAAAAACAACUUUGACAAUGGAUCUCUUGGUUCUCGCAACGAUGAAGAACGCAGCAAAUGCGAUAAGUAGUGUGAAUUGCAGAAUACGUGAAUCAUCGAAUCUUCGAACGCAUAUUGCACUUUUUUAGUUUACUAAAAAAGUAUGUCUGUUGAGUAUCAGUAAAAUAUUCUCAUAAAAAACAUUGUUUUUAUAUGGUUAUGAGUGUUUUACAACGAUACAAGUUGUUUCACUUUAAUUUUUUUAAAAUUUGAAUUUUUCUAAUUUUAAAAAUAAAAUUGGAUAAAUUUUCCCGUAAAAAGGAAAUACCUAAACAAUUUUAAUUUUUGAUUAGAAAAUCCAAACUAAAAGGAAAAUUUAACUAAAUAACUUGAUCUCAAAUCAGAUAAGAGUACCCGCUGAACUUAAGCAUAUCAAUAAGCGGAGGAAAAGAAACUAACAGGAUCCUUAGUAACGGCGAGUGAAGCGGGAAGAGCUCAAAUUUUGAAAUCUUCAAGGUUUACCUUGACGAAUUGUAGUUUAAAGAAGUGUUUUCUGUUGAAGUUUUGGUAAAGUUCUUUGGAAUAGGACAUCAUAGAGGGUGAGAAUCCGUAUUUGACCAUUAUUUUCAGCUGUGUGAUACACUUUCAAAGAGUCGGAUUGUUUGGGAAUGCAGUCCGAAAUGGGUGGUAAAUUUCAUCUAAAGCUAAAUAUUGGCGAGAGACCGAUAGCGAACAAGUACCGUGAGGAAAGAUGAAAAGAACUUUGAAAGAGAGUUAACAGUACGUGAAAUUGUCAAAAGGGAAGCGUUUGACACCAGUGUUGUUUUCUCGAAAAUCAAUUAAAAAAGUUGGAUUUGUGUUGUAUUGACCUUAACAGCUUGCUUCACUCUUUUCCUGCUUUUUUUAAUGCACUUUUCGUUUUAACAAGUCAACAUCAGUUCUUUUGUUGUAAAAGGGUCAUUUGGAAGUGGCUUUCUCUUCGAGAAGUGUUUAUAUGCCUUUGAUCUCUGCAAUCGGAGAAGACUGAGGUCUGCAGCGUAGAUCCUUCGGGUUAGAUACAUUUGUGCUAAGCUACAGCUUUUCAUAGACAACUUGUUGACUAUGUUUAGUCUUGUGACUUACCCGCUUAUGCUAUUUUACC
rnacentral:misc_RNA from 1 species